UUUUAACACAGUUAUCAGGAUAAUGAAUUCGCCAAUUAAUAAGAAAGAUCACAAUCACCAGAUCCAUCGCUGGAGCUGUGCUUAGCAGUGCAACACUUUGCUCAAGGCUGAUUCUUACCAAUGUGCAUCAACAACCAGGCUCCUCGUCACCAGUUAUAAGCAAGCUGAGAGCCGUC